GAAUUAUUUUCUCCUUUGCUUCUCUAAGUAUUAACAUUUGGAAUCCAGUCCCUUGACUUUGGGCUACUAAGUUUACACCAGUAGCUCACUGAUCUGCAAUUCCUUAGAGUCAUCUCCUCUAUCUUAUGCACGAACAAGUGGCCAGAGAUGAGUACCCGCCUGGUCAGAAUGCUUGAUGGCCAGAUCCCAGUUGGAGAUCUCUCUGGUGUUUACUCGGUAUCUCUUCCGACAUAUGGGACACAUAGAUCUGAACAAAUAUUUCUAGUUUUCAAGCAAGACUGUUUCCUCCAGCGUGAGUGGAGAAAGUGGCUUUCCUAAGGCCUACAUGGCAUAAGUGGUUCUGGCUUCAGAUGACACAGGACAGGAAUGCUCAAGGUGUGCUAAGGUACAGAGCUGUAACCCAAAAUGUUAAAUACUUAAACGAACAUGCACAGGAAGUGAAGGAGAUGUUUCCGAGGUGAGCGGCUUGCAAAGAUAUCUGGAGCAUG
rnacentral:lncRNA from 1 species